UCGGUAAAUUUAAUAUGCAAAGCAGCUGGAAACAUUGCUCUGCAUUUCAAUCCACGAUUGGAUAGAGGAUAUAUUGUUAGAAAUACGAAAGUGCGUGGAUCCUGGGAGGACGAAGAGACCUGUUCGCCUGCAGGUCCAAGCGGAUGUAUUUUCCGCCGAAACACUUAUGUACAUCUUAUGAUCUUCUGUACGAAUGAUGCAUUUCAGAUGUUUCCACACAAGCGUUUCCACACAAAGCGAGGAAAAAAGAAAAAACGGGUUUUUAACUUUCCACGCAAACCCAGGUCCACCUCCACCCACCCCUGCCUGCGGUGGAGAGGCGGUAGUCCCUCCCCCGCCUACAUGUGUUGUGUAUAGACACAUACCUGCAAAUUACUUUCUUUAGCACUGACCCAAACUGGCAAAUUUCUCAAACUUUUUCGUUGAUAACUUUUUAACAAACAAUGACCGAGGGCUAAACCUUCUGAAAGUCACUCAGAAGGGUUACCUAUUGUUCGAGAACGAGCUCGAUCGUUUAUUUGUUUUUCGUUUCGUCGCGCAAACAAAGCUUCGAGAAGCUUGCUUCUCGCGUGAUCGUCGCAUGGCCCUAUUGUUCGGUUGCCGUGAUGGGCGGUCCUUAACUUGUUUUUCGUACAACCAGCGACGAUCAGGCGAACGCGUUACCGUUCGGAGCAGCGCGACGCGUAUUCAGUCGGCGUACCGAAAUUGUCGGGCAAGCUCGUCGUCUCCGCGAAUCCCGAAAAGUGGUGAUCGCGCGGUGUUUCUCCGGCAUGCAUUACUAGCAGAUCAUAACGCUGUCCUACAUCUCCGCCUGUGUUGCAUUGAGACACACGGGAUUCAAUCACCGUUAUUACUCCUGCGGAAAACCGAGCAAAGUCAUUCGGAGUAACCGACGGCUUGCCCGCGAGUCAAGUGUGACUCCACGCCGCGAGUGACGUCACGCGUCAAGGUGACCGUUCGCUCGAAUCAAGACUAUAUAAACUCUAACGCGAAAGAUACUUUAUUUGUGAGCAUAAUAAAUAGUGCUGUUUGACAAGUU